UACGUAGGGGGCAAGCGUUGUCCGGAAUUAUUGGGCGUAAAGAGCGCGUAGGCGGUCCGAUAAGUCGGCUGUGAAAGUCAAGGGCUCAACCCUUGGAUGCCGGUGGAUACUGCAGGGCUAGAGUCCGGAAGGGGCGAGUGGAAUUCCUGGUGUAGCGGUGAAAUGCGCAGAUAUCAGGAGGAACACCGAUGGCGAAGGCAGCUCGCUGGGACGUUACUGACGCUGAGACACGAAAGCGUGGGGAGCAAACAGG
rnacentral:rRNA from 1 species